rnacentral:rRNA from 1 species
AGCAGCCGCGGUAAUUCCAGCUCCAAUAGCGUAUAUUAAAGUUGUUGCAGUUAAAAAGCUCGUAGUUGAAUUUCGGGACUAAUAUGUCGGUCGUACUUUGUACGUACUAGCAUUAUUGGUUUCUCCCUUCUGACGAACCACGAUGUCAUUAAUUUGGUGUCAUGGGAAAUCAGGACUGUUACUUUGAAAAAAUUAGAGUGUUUAAAGCAAGCUCGCGCUUGAAUACAUUAGCAUGGAAUAAUGAAAUAGGACGUUUGAUUCUAUUUUGUUGGUUUCUAGGAUCGACGUAAUGAUUAAUAGGGAUAGUUGGGGGCAUUAGUAUUCAAUUGUCAGAGGUGAAAUUCUUGGAUUUAUUGAAGACUAACUACUGCGAAAGCAUUUGCCAAGGAUGUUUUCAUUAAUCAAGAACGAAAGUUAGGGGAUCGAAGACGAUCAGAUACCGUCGUAGUCUUAACCAUAAACUACGCCGACUAGGGAUCAGAUGAU